rnacentral:SRP_RNA from 1 species
UGGCAGGCUAGCCCGGGUAGUUAGGCGUUACCUGUAACCCGAAACCGCCGAUAUGCGGGGGGCGAAGCCAAUGGAAGAUGUUAUCAAUUACCUCUUCAACCUGUGGAUUUGACUGAGAAGUUCCGUCCUAUGGGGAUAACGUUAUUAUAGAGGCUUUCCUGAAGGAAUGUCAUUAUAAUUUAAUUAAGAGAAUCGGUCCAGGCCCGGAAGGGAGCAGACUUACCUUAAGCAAUUAUCGCUCAUGGGGAAGCGGGAUGGAGGAUUAACUACAGAUCAUUGAGUGGUAUGAGGUGCAACAACCAAAGGUGUGUCUGCCA